rnacentral:rRNA from 1 species
GACGAACGCUGGCGGCGUGCUUAACACAUGCAAGUCGAAAGGUGAAAGAGGAGCUUGCUCCUCUGGAUCAGUGGCGAACGGGUGAGUAACACGUGAGUAACCUGCCCCAGACUCUGGAAUAACGCCGGGAAACAGGAGCUAAUACCGCAUACGAGACACAGACGCAUCUCUACUGUCUGGAUAGUUUUUCGGUCUGGGAUGGACUCUCGGCCCAACAGCUUGUUGGUGAGGUAACGGCUCGCCAAGGCGACGACGGGUAGCCGGCCUGAGAGGGCAACCGGCCACACUGGGACUGAGACACGGGCCAGACUCCUACCGGAGGCAGCAGUGGGGAAUAUUGCACAAUGGGCGAAAGCCUGAUGCAGCGACGCCGCGUGAGGGAUGACGGCCUUCGGGUUGCAAACCUCUUUCAGUAGGGAAGAAGCGAAAGUGACGGUACCUACAGAAGAAGCACCGUCUAACUACGUGCCAGCCGCCGCAGUAA